GGGGUGUUUAAGAAGUUUUCAAGGAUAAGUGUUGUUGAUAGACUAGGGAAGUAGAUGCUGAGGCACUUGCUGUGCUCUCGUCAGCACAUCGCGGUAUACAGAAGCACAUAAGAACAUAAGCACCGCCGUGGGUGUAACCCGUGGCUGAUGGCCUUAGCUACAGGUUCUCUGUAGAUGAUUCUUUAGGCUGAGAAAUGUUCUCUUUAUUUCCAACUCCUUGAGUGUUUUUACCAUUAAGAGAUGCAGGGCUUUUGUCAAAUGCAAUUUCUGUCUCUACUGAUAUCACAGUAGUGACUUUGUCUUUUAAUGUAUUAAGAGGACAUAUUGAGUAAUUUUCAUGUUAAAGCCCACCUUGCAUUUUGGGAACGCAUUUUUGUUGGUCACUGUAUGUCUUCUUAUUUGUUACUGGAUUCAAUUAGAUGUUAUUUUGUUGAGGAAUUUAGUAUUUGUUUCCACGAGAGAGAUUCCAUUGUGGUUUCCUUUCUUGAGAUGUCUUUGGCUUUGGUUUCUGUAUCAGGAUAAUACUGGCUUCAUGAAACAAACGUGAACAUGCUUUUUCCUCUUCUUUUUAAUUAUGUAAAACGGUAAAAUAUUGACGUCCUCCCACCCCACCCCACUUCUCUCCCAGUGGGAUGGAACCCAUGGCCUCACACAUGCCGAGGAAGCUGUAUAGCACCACUAAACUACUUGCCCCCAAUCUUUAUUUACUUUUUUAUUUUGAGACAAGGGCUUACAGCUUACCAAACUGUCCAGGCUGGCCUUGAUCUCAUUCUGUAAUCCAGGCAAACCUGACACCCACUACUUUUGUGCCUCAGCCUCCUGAUUGACUGUAAUAAUAGGCAUGUGCAAGUUGGCUGCCAUGAGAACAGCCAUCUCCUGUAUUCUCAAGAGUACCCUGCCCGUUCCUCCUCAUCUGAUGCUGGAUACUGGCAACCGCACUCUCACCCAGCUCCCAUGGCUGGCUUCCUAAGCCACCCAACACCCAUCCCUCCUGAGAACACCUGUAUUUCCACCAAUGACUGCCCUGGAGGUUGGCUCCUCUGACUGCCAAAGACCACUUUGAGGUUAUGUCCUCUUUCUUGUCCACCUGAAUCAUCACAAAUGGAAAACACCAUACAAUCUUAAUAUUUUAAAAUCAGUCAAAUGACACAACCAGGGGGCUCUGGAUAUUGUCCUAAACUCAUCAGCUAUUCUAUAUUAGAAUUCAUGUGGUGGCUGCCACUGGAUCUAAUAGCCCCCAGGCCUACAUGGUGUCUAUCUUCUCUGCCCUCUAGCCUGUCCAAAAAGCCUUUUCUCAAUUUCAUCUCCCUCUCUUCCUACUGGGACCCAGAAAAUCUGCCUCUAUAUGUUUGCUCAGCGAUUGGCUUCUGCUGUCUUUAUUCUUUAUUUACCCAAUCAAACAUUGAGGGAAUCUCUCCCUGUGGAGUCUUAGGUAGACAAUUUGUGUAGUAGAUUUAUCAACUGAGGUUGAUACAACACUCAUCUCCAAUUGUUCUCUUAAGUUUGACAAGAUGUGAAUUUAUGUAAUGGUCUCUGUCUACU
rnacentral:lncRNA from 1 species